rnacentral:rRNA from 1 species
GGGAUAUUGCACAAUGGGGGAAACCCUGAUGCAGCGACGCCGCGUGAGUGAAGAAGUAUUUCGGUAUGUAAAGCUCUAUCAGCAGGGAAGAAAAUGACGGUACCUGACUAAGAAGCUCCGGCUAAAUACGUGCCAGCAGCCGCGGUAAUACGUAUGGAGCAAGCGUUAUCCGGAUUUACUGGGUGUAAAGGGAGCGUAGACGGUGAGGCAAGUCUGAUGUGAAAGGUGUGGGCUCAACCCGCAAACUGCAUUGGAAACUGUCCCACUAGAGUGUCGGAGAGGUAAGUGGAAUUCCUAGUGUAGCGGUGAAAUGCGUAGAUAUUAGGAGGAACACCAGCGGCGAAGGCGGCUUACUGGACGAUAACUGACGUUGAGGCUCGAAAGCGUGGGGAGCAAACA